UGCAGAAUUCGCCCUUCCCUACGGGAGGCAGCAGUGGGGAAUUGUUCGCAAUGGGCGCAAGCCUGACGACGCAACGCCGCGUGGAGGAUGAAGGUCUUCGGAUUGUAAACUCCUGUUGCCCGGGACGGAUAGCUUCGACCUAACACGUCGGAGUAUGACGGUACCGGGUGAGGAAGCCCCGGCUAACUCUGUGCCAGCAGCCGCGGUAAUACAGAGGGGGCAAGCGUUGUUCGGAAUUACUGGGCGUAAAGGGCGCGUAGGCGGCCUGUUAAGUCGAACGUGAAAUCCCCGGGCUCAACCCGGGAACUGCGUCCGAUACUGGCUGGCUUGAAUCCGGGAGAGGGAUGUGGAAUUCCAGGUGUAGCGGUGAAAUGCGUAGAUAUCUGGAGGAACACCGGUGGCGAAGGCGACAUCCUGGACCGGUAUUGACGCUGAGGCGCGAAAGCCAGGGGAGCAAACGGGAUUAGAUACCCCGGUAGUCCUGGCCCUAAACGAUGAAUGCUUGGUGUGGCGGGUAUCGAUCCCUGCCGUGCCGAAGCUAACGCAUUAAGCAUUCCGCCUGGGGAGUACGGUCGCAAGGCUGAAAC
rnacentral:rRNA from 1 species